UAACUCUGGGUUCCCUUGAAAAUGCUUAAAUCUUUUGCCUUUACUGAAGAUUUCUGUGGAGGGGAACAACUCAAUGAGUUAAAUUUUUAUUGUUUCACCUAGUGGGCUGCAU